CCUACGGGUGGCAGCAGUGGGGAAUAUUGGGCAAUGUGCGCAAGCCUGACCCAGCAACGCCGCGUGAAGGAAGAAGGCUUUCGGGUUGUAAACUUCUUUUAAGCGGGAAGAGCAGAAGACGGUACCUCUUGAAUAAGCCACGGCUAACUACGUGGCAGCAGCCGCGGUAAUACGUAGGUGGCAGGCGUUGUCCGGAUUUACUGGGUGUCAAGGGCGUGUAGCCGGGCUGGCAAGUCAGAUGUGAAAUCCCGUGGCUCAACCACGGAACUGCAUUUGAAACUGUCGGUCUUGAGUAUUGGAGAGGCAGGCGGAAUGCCUAGUGUAGCGGUGAAAUGCGUAGAUAUUAGGAGGAACCCCAGUGGCGAAGGCGGCCUGCUGGACGACAACUGACGGUGAGGCGCGAAAGCGUGGGGAGCAAACAGGAGUAGAUACCCUUGUAGUC
rnacentral:rRNA from 1 species